rnacentral:rRNA from 1 species
UUGUUUUUAGUGGCGCACGGGUGAGUAACACGUGAGUUACCUGCCCCCAAGAGUGGGAUAGCCCCGGGAAACUGGGAUUAAUACCGCAUAAUAUCGCAAGAUUAAAGGUGCAAACCGCUUGGGGAUGGGCUCGCGGCCUAUUAGUUAGUUGGUGAGGUAACGGCUCACCAAGGCGAUGACGGGUAGCCGGUCUGAGAGGAUGUCCGGCCACACUGGAACUGAGACACGGUCCAGACACCUACGGGUGGCAGCAGUCGAGAAUCAUUCACAAUGGGGGAAACCCUGAUGGUGCGACGCCGCGUGGGGGAGCGAAGGUCUUCGGAUUGUAAACCCCUGUCAAGUGGGAGCAAAUUAAAAAGAUAGUACCACUAGAGGAAGAGACGGCUAACUCUGUGCCAGCAGCCGCGGUAAUACAGAGGUCUCAAGCGUUGUUCGGAAUCACUGGGCGUAAAGCGUACGUAGGCGGCUUGGUAAGUCGUGUGUGAAAGGCAGGGGCUCAACCUCUGGACUGCACAUGAUACUGCCAGGCUAGAGUAAUGGAGGGGAAACCGGAAUUCUCGGUGUAGCAGUGAAAUGCGUAGAUAUCGAGAGGAACACUCGUGGCGAAGGCGGGUUUCUGGACAUUAACUGACGCUGA